AUAUCAGUCCCCGUUUCACCAACUGGUAGAUUUAAAAAAUACCCCUCUUGUAGAUUUUAUUUAGGGUUAGGAAAGUGUUUAAAAACAUAUUUUAAGAGCCUUUAUGCAUGAAAUAAGUGGUUUUAUUCUUUCUAUAAAAUUGCCACAUUCAAUAAUGCAACCCAUGAUAUGCUGAAAGGUUAGUGGAUCAUAAGGAGAAUAGCAGGUUAUAACCCUCGUCUAUAGCCUGCCGAGUAUAGGUUAUAACCUCGUCUAUAGCCUGCCGAGUAUAGGUUAUAACCCUCGUCUAUAGCCUGCCGAGUAUAGGUUAUAACCCUCGUCUAUAGCCUGCCGAGUAUAGGUUAUAACCCUCGUCUAUAGCCUGCCGAGUAUAGGUUAUAACCCUCGUCUAUAGCCUGCCGAGUAUAGGUUAUAACCCUCGUCUAUAGCCUGCCGAGUAUAGGUUAUAACCCUCGUCUAUAGCCUGCCGAGUAUAGGUUAUAACCCUCGUCUAUAGCCUGCCGAGUAUAGGUUAUAACCCUCGUCUAUAGCCUGCCGAGUAUAGGUUAUAACCCUCGUCUAUAGCCUGCCGAGUAUAGGUUAUAACCCUCGUCUAUAGCCUGCCGAGUAUAGGUUAUAACCCUCGUCUAUAGCCUGCCGAGUAUAGGUUAUAACCCUCGUCUAUAGCCUGCCGAGUAUAGGUUAUAACCCUCGUCUAUAGCCUGCCGAGUAUAGGUUAUAACCCUCGUCUAUAGCCUGCCGAGUAUAGGUUAUAACCCUCGUCUAUAGCCUGCCGAGUACAGGUUAUAACCCUCGUCUAUAGCCUGCACGAACCAUGGAACAGUGUGACGACACAGCCGAGUAUGGCGCCAUGAGUCCGGUUCAAUCGUUUAU